GGUAGCGUGGCCGAGCGGUCUAAGGCGCUGCUUUAAGGCACCAGUCCCCUCGGAGGCGUGGGUUCGAAUCCCACCGCUGCCA
rnacentral:tRNA from 1 species